GGAGACGUCGCAUAGUCCGGUCUAGUGCGCGGUCCUGCUAAGACCGUGAGGGUGUUAAAGCCCUCCGUGGGUUCAAAUCCCACCGUCUCCG
rnacentral:tRNA from 1 species